AAAAAAAAAACCUUAAAUGCCCAUCGCUAAGUGAAAGAAGCCGAUCUGAAAAGACUACAUACUGUUAUCAGCCUUUUGCCAAGCUGAACACAAGGGGAUGAAAAGAAAAUCUGGGCUCGAAUGUGCAAUUUCAUAUUUUCUGUUAAGGCAAUUUACAACAUAUCAUAAAGCUGCAUUAAUAAACAGAUGUUCCACAGUCUGCAGAAUAUAAAAUAAAUGUCUUGAAUAAGCUACGAAGACCAAGGCACUUUUCGGAGCAGAUUUUUUUGUCUUAAAGUUUUAUCUCAUGCAAACACUGCGUAUAACACAAACUUAUAUAAUCAAUGCUUUUAGCAAAAUGUCAUAGUAGAACCAAGGCCCAGUUGUUAGCUGAAAUCUAUAUAAAUAUAGGCAGGAGUAGGGCUGAUUGGAGCCAUUGUACAGUGUCGGGAACAUACCAGGACACUGAGAAUAGUGUCAUGUCAUAAGGACCCAGAGCAGAUGGACCCUGCUGUGAUGCACAAAGAGGACCACGCAAGAUAUGAUAAAGAUCUACAUCACUGAAUUUUGGUUCCAUUUUUGUAUCUCAGCUUCCAGGAAAUAAAAAAGAAUUCUAACAUUCAUACUUUCAGUAUUUUAUGUGAGAGGUUUUGUUGUCAAAAUCAAGUCUGAGAGCAAUGUUUGUUGGGGCCUUUAAUUGGAGUCACCAAGCGAUAAAGGGGACAUUGUCCUCAACAAUAACCCUAUAAUAAACACGUUUUGGACAAUAAAUAUAUGACAAUUUCUUAAAAGCAAUUUCUUGGGCAAUCAAGACAGUAUGGCUUGAGUAUGGAGUUAUACGAUGGUUUGGAUUAAUCCAGUAUUAAAUCUUUGGUUAUUACAGAAAUCAAUGGAGCCUAUUCUUCCAAAUAAUCCUUAAAUAUUACUUAUCUCAACUGAGAUUUUGGUGAAAAUUUAGCUUUAGAGCUUUUAUUGACCUGCCAAUGACCUGAAGUUAAGAUUAUUCUUUUCUACUGAAUGAAGACAAACUACCUUAUAAAAAUUAACCCAGA
rnacentral:lncRNA from 10 species